UACAGAGGGGGCAAGCGUUGUUCGGAAUUACUGGGCGUAAAGGGCGCGUAGGCGGCCUGUUAAGUCGAACGUGAAAUCCCCGGGCUCAACCCGGGAACUGCGUCCGAUACUGGCAGGCUUGAAUCCGGGAGAGGGAUGCGGAAUUCCAGGUGUAGCGGUGAAAUGCGUAGAUAUCUGGAGGAACACCGGUGGCGAAGGCGGCAUCCUGGACCGGCAUUGACGCUGAGGCGCGAAAGCCAGGGGAGCAAAACGGG
rnacentral:rRNA from 1 species